rnacentral:rRNA from 1 species
GGGGUGGCUCGAGUGGCGAACGGGUGAGUAACACGUGAGUAACCUGCCCUUGACUUUGGGAUAACUUCAGGAAACUGGGGCUAAUACCGGAUAGGAGCUCCUGCUGCAUGAUGGGGGUUGGAAAGUUUCGGCGGUUGGGGAUGGACUCGCGGCUUAUCAGCUUGUUGGUGGGGUAGUGGCUUACCAAGGCUUUGACGGGUAGCCGGCCUGAGAGGGUGACCGGCCACAUUGGGACUGAGAUACGGCCCAG